rnacentral:rRNA from 1 species
AGAGUUUGAUCCUGGCUCAGGAUGAACGCUAGCGACAGGCUUAACACAUGCAAGUCGAGGGGCAGCACAGGUAGCAAUACCGGGUGGCGACCGGCGCACGGGUGAGUAACGCGUAUGCAACUUGCCUAUCAGAGGGGGAUAACCCGGCGAAAGUCGGACUAAUACCGCAUGAAGCAGGGGCCCCGCAUGGGGAUAUUUGCUAAAGAUUCAUCGCUGAUAGAUAGGCAUGCGUUCCAUUAGGCAGUUGGCGGGGUAACGGCCCACCAAACCGACGAUGGAUAGGGGUUCUGAGAGGAAGGUCCCCCACAUUGGUACUGAGACACGGACCAAACUCCUACGGGAGGCAGCAGUGAGGAAUAUUGGUCAAUGGGCGUAAGCCUGAACCAGCCAAGUCGCGUGAGGGAUGAAGGUUCUAUGGAUCGUAAACCUCUUUUAUAAGGGAAUAAAGUGCGGGACGUGUCCCGUUUUGUAUGUACCUUAUGAAUAAGGAUCGGCUAACUCCGUGCCAGCAGCCGCGGUAAUACGGAGGAUCCGAGCGUUAUCCGGAUUUAUUGGGUUUAAAGGGUGCGUAGGCGGCCUUUUAAGUCAGCGGUGAAAGUCUGUGGCUCAACCAUAGAAUUGCCGUUGAAACUGGGAGGCUUGAGUAUGUUUGAGGCAGGCGGAAUGCGUGGUGUAGCGGUGAAAUGCUUAGAUAUCACGCAGAACCCCGAUUGCGAAGGCAGCCUGCCAAGCCAUUACUGACGCUGAUGCACGAAAGCGUGGGGAUCAAACAGGAUUAGAUACCCUGGUAGUCCACGCAGUAAACGAUGAUCACUAGCUGUUUGCGAUACACUGUAAGCGGCACAGCGAAAGCGUUAAGUGAUCCACCUGGGGAGUACGCCGGCAACGGUGAAACUCAAAGGAAUUGACGGGGGCCCGCACAAGCGGAGGAACAUGUGGUUUAAUUCGAUGAUACGCGAGGAACCUUACCCGGGUUUGAACGCAUUUUGACAGCUCUGGAAACAGAGCCUCUAGCAAUAGCGAUUUGCGAGGUGCUGCAUGGUUGUCGUCAGCUCGUGCCGUGAGGUGUCGGCUUAAGUGCCAUAACGAGCGCAACCCUUGCCACUAGUUACUAACAGGUAAAGCUGAGGACUCUGGUGGGACUGCCAGCGUAAGCUGCGAGGAAGGCGGGGAUGACGUCAAAUCAGCACGGCCCUUACAUCCGGGGCGACACACGUGUUACAAUGGCGUGGACAAAGGGAGGCCACCUGGCGACAGGGAGCGAAUCCCCAAACCACGUCUCAGUUCGGAUCGGAGUCUGCAACCCGACUCCGUGAAGCUGGAUUCGCUAGUAAUCGCGCAUCAGCCAUGGCGCGGUGAAUACGUUCCCGGGCCUUGUACACACCGCCCGUCAAGCCAUGGGAGCCGGGGGUACCUGAAGUCCGUAACCGAAAGGAUCGGCCUAGGGUAAAACUGGUGACUGGGGCUAAGUCGUAACAAGGUAGCCGUACCGGAAGGUGCGGCUG